rnacentral:rRNA from 1 species
GACGUAGGGCGCGAGCGUUGUCCGGAUUUAUUGGGCGUAAAGAGCUCGUAGGCGGCUUGUUGCGUCGACUGUGAAAACCCGCGGCUUAACCGCGGGCUUGCAGUUGAUACGGGCAGGCUAGAGUUCGGUAGGGGAGAUCGGAAUUCCUGGUGUAGCGGUGAAAUGCGCAGAUAUCAGGAGGAACACCGGUGGCGAAGGCGGAUCUCUGGGCCGAUACUGACGCUGAGGAGCGAAAGCGUGGGGAGCGAACAGG